rnacentral:rRNA from 1 species
UGCGUAGGCGGUUUGAUAAGUCAGAGGUGAAAGCCCGCAGCUUAACCGUGGAAUUGCCUUUGAUACUGUUGGACUUGAAUCAGGUUGAGGUUGGCGGAAUGUGGCAUGUAGCGGUGAAAUGCAUAGAUAUGCCAUAGAACACCAAUUGCGAAGGCAGCUGACUAGACCUGUAUUGACGCUGAGGCACGAAAGCGUGGGGAGCGAACAGGAUUAGAUACCCUGGUAGUCC